GGAAUAUUGCACAAUGGGCGCAAGCCUGAUGCAGCCAUGCCGCGUGUGUGAAGAAGGCCUUAGGGUUGUAAAGCACUUUCAGCGAGGAGGAAGGGUUCAGUGUUAAUAGCACUGUGCAUUGACGUUACUCGCAGAAGAAGCACCGGCUAACUCCGUGCCAGCAGCCGCGGUAAUACGGAGGGUGCAAGCGUUAAUCGGAAUUACUGGGCGUAAAGCGCACGCAGGCGGUUUGUUAAGUCAGAUGUGAAAUCCCCGAGCUUAACUUGGGAACUGCAUUUGAAACUGGCAAGCUAGAGUCUUGUAGAGGGGGGUAGAAUUCCAGGUGUAGCGGUGAAAUGCGUAGAGAUCUGGAGGAAUACCGGUGGCGAAGGCGGCCCCCUGGACAAAGACUGACGCUCAGGUGCGAAAGCGUGGGGAGCAAACAGGAUUAGAUACCCCAG
rnacentral:rRNA from 1 species